CACGUAGGGUGCGAGCGUUGUCCGGAAUUAUUGGGCGUAAAGAGCUCGUAGGCGGUGUGUCGCGUCGGCCGUGAAAACCUGCAGCUUAACUGUGGGCUUGCGGUCGAUACGGGGCAUCACUGGAGUUCGGCAGGGGGAGACUGGAAUUCCUGGUGUAGCGGUGAAAUGCGCAGAUAUCAGGAGGAACACCGGUGGCGAAGGCGGGUCUCUGGGGCCGAUACUGACGCUUGGAGGAGCGGAAAGCGUGGGGAGCGAACAG
rnacentral:rRNA from 1 species